ACGAACGCUGGCGGCGUGCUUAACACAUGCAAGUCGAACGGAAAGGCCCUGCUUUUGUGGGGUGCUCGAGUGGCGAACGGGUGAGUAACACGUGAGUAACCUGCCCUUGACUUUGGGAUAACUUCAGGAAACUGGGGCUAAUACCGGAUAGGAGCUCCUGCUGCUGGGUGGGGGUUGGAAAGUUUCGGCGGUUGGGGAUGGACUCGCGGCUUAUCAGCUUGUUGGUGGGGUAGUGGCUUACCAAGGCUUUGACGGGUAGCCGGCCUGAGAGGGUGACCGGCCACAUUGGGACUGAGAUACGGCCCAGACUCCUACGGGAGGCAGCAGUGGGGAAUAUUGCACAAUGGGCGGAAGCCUGAUGCAGCAACGCCGCGUGCGGGAUGACGGCCUUCGGGUUGUAAACCGCUUUCGCCUGUGACGAAGCGUGAGUGACGGUAAUGGGUAAAGAAGCACCGGCUAACUACGUG
rnacentral:rRNA from 1 species